CCUUACCUUGGGUAUUCUACAAUUCAAGCAACUUACCUUGUGUCCGGUUUCACAAAAACAAAAUACAAUUAAAAAAAAAAAUGCAAGUUAAUUAACAUGUGAACUAAUAAGAACAAGAUAAAAAAACUACUUUCGUGAGCUGUGCUCAACCACCGAUUUAUCAGUGGCUCUACUACACUUCUGACUUUCUGUCAAAUUCGGUACCUAACCGCAAAAAAAAAUUAUAAUCAAAUCAUAAUAAAGUUUUAGUGCACAAAAUUUAAAUAACACAACAACAACAAGUAACUUAGGAUUUACAGAGAGGGAAUUAGGAAGUUCUCGAUACACGGGGAAGGGAAAAAAAAAUUGGAAGGAAUUAAGAAAGCAAGGAUAAGGAAAGUCAACAAAUAAUAGUGUACAGCACACACAACGCUGACCUUUGGGCUCCUUGAAUGUACCCCUAAGUGGCUCUGGUGGUGCGGGAACUGAAGUUGGCGUAGGCGUCCAAAGACAGGUCGAUAUCACGGCUGAACACGGCGACACAAACGAAGAACAUAAAUCGGGCAGCGACAACACGUAGAAAACAAGUUUGAAGUAAAAUCGGAACAGAUACGGCUCCCAAAUUUCACAUAUCCGAAGAAGCUAAAAGAUUAUAUUGCUAUAGACACGGGACUAAAAGGUCCGCAUAAGGCGAUAAGGAAUACUACCCAAUUGAGGCAACCAAAAAAAACCUCCGACUAAAUACGGGUAGCUAUUCUAUUUGUCUGGCCCAAAUUCUUGAAUAUUCCUUCGUAUGAAGAUUGGUAAUAGCUCAGGA